GCACUUCCUGCGAGGCCCCUGCAGCAGCAGCGGCGUGGUCAGAGCGAGCUUCGGAGAAGCAGUGGUGGGUUCCAUGUGAUGGUGGAGUAGGAGGCAGGUCUCCGCGGAAAGAAAAAAGAAGAAAACAAACCUCCAUACGAGAAUGGGUCUAAAGGAACUUCCCAAACCUCCAUGAUUUUGCAGGAAACAAGAUAAAGGAAAAAUGUAUUUCAGAUGAGACCAGAAUUGGAAACAUAUUCUGUGCCGUCAGAUAGCACUGGCUUAGGAGAUGAAUGAGGAGGAGCCUGCAGGCUACCUCAAGGAUAAGAAGCAGGCAAAAGGUGGUUUCCACAAGAAAAAUGGCACAAUGUUUCUCAGAAGACAAUUACAUAAGAAUCAGCAUACUUCAAAUUCACAGCAAAUAAUCAGACAAUUGAUGAAAAUACUUACCCAAACACUAAUUGUAGACUAUGCCUUCUGAAUAUGUUUGUCAUAAACUUGGAGUAAGGAAUCCUCACAGGCACUGGACAAUUCAAAAAACGUAAAGUUGUUUGUUAGAAUACUGGUGCU
rnacentral:lncRNA from 10 species